CGCGGUGGUCCCACCUGACCCCAUGCCGAACUCAGAAGUGAAACGCCGUAGCGCCGAUGGUAGUGUGGGGUCUCCCCAUGUGAGAGUAGGGAACUGCCAG
rnacentral:rRNA from 1 species